rnacentral:tRNA from 1 species
AGAUGGUUAGUUUAAAUAAAACCUUUGAUUUCGGCUCAAAAACUUGUGGUUAAAGUCCAUAAUUGUCUA